rnacentral:rRNA from 1 species
GCAAGUCGAGCGGAAACGAUAAAGAGCUUGCUCUUUAGGCGUCGAGCGGCGGACGGGUGAGUAAUGCUUGGGAAUAUGCCUUAUGGUGGGGGACAACAGUUGGAAACGACUGCUAAUACCGCAUAACGUCUACGGACCAAAGGGGGGGAUCUUCGGACCUUUCGCCUUUAGAUUAGCCCAAGUGAGAUUAGCUAGAUGGUGGGGUAAUGGCCUACCAUGGCGACGAUCCCUAGCUGUUCUGAGAGGAUGAUC